rnacentral:lncRNA from 1 species
GGGGUGUGGGGCAGGGGGAAUAAAUUUUUGUAAUCUUUGUCAUUUAUAGAGAUGAUACAGAUUUCUGGGUCAUGGGAAGAACAGAAGUAGUUAAAUGCAAAUAUUUCUUCCUGCAAAUAGCCUGGGGACAUUCCUGCAUCCCAUGCCCUGGAGCUACAGAAGCAAGUUACACUCAGGCUAAGAAUGACAUGCCUCCGAAAGCAGCUGCUUCCAUCUUUCAGAAAGGACAAGACAUCACAUUACUUAGCAGUGGAUUUAUCAAUAAACAAAUGCACUUACUGGAAUGGAAAAGGCAGGAGUCAUCAGAAAUUCUUGAGGAGCUUAAAAUGCAGGGAAUCAUCAAGGGCCAAAGCACACCUUUUGGAAACCAAGAAGCACCUGAUAACAAGAGAGAAGCCCUACUAAGAAAACCACCAGCCAGGCUGGAAAAGCUUGAUAUCAAAAGAAAAGAAGUGAAUGAUCUGACCCUGGAGGACAUUCAGAAUUCUGCUGAAGAGAAAGAAAAGACUGCAGAACAACUGAACCAAAGACUACAGAGUAAGACAUUUUCUCCAGCAACUGCUCACCAAAACGUAGCUCAGCUAAAUGAAUCCUGUUAUUUAACUGCAGAAGGUGGAAAAGGGACUGACACUAGUCAGCUUUUAUCAUUAGAUCCAGAGGAGGAAGAAUCUGCAGUUGAAACUGUAAAUGGCAAUUUUGAAGACUUUGCUGUUGUAGAGUCAGAUACAACUUAUAACUGUUCAAUUGAAGCAUUCUAA